CAUGCUUUCACCAUCACAGGCAAAGGACCUGCUUUCCACCGGUCAUCUGAAGUCAUUCUAAUUCUCCGGUUGGAAUGUUAUUCAAGAAAAAUGUAAACAACAUUCUAAAGAUUGAUUCAGUACAUCGUUUGACAUGUUUCUACUGACUGUUACAGAACUUUUGGACAUUUCGUCACGUUAUAGUGGACGCGCUUUGUGACUUUGGAAUUGUUUACCAAACGCGCUAACCAAAGUAGCUAAUUGGACAUAAAUAACUGACAUUUUCGAACAAAUCAAGCAUUUAUUGUGGACCUGGGAUUCCUAGGACCUCAUUCUGAUGAAGUUCAUCAAAGGAAAUCCUAUGAGUGUCAUCUGAUGAAGAUAUUUCAAGCAGCUGUAAGCGGAGGUAUUGUCAAGCAGCGGUGUUGUCGCCGAAACAAAGUCCUCACCCCUCUCUCACUUGAGUAUCUUUCCUAGUUAUUUUCUGGUCUUAUUUUGCUCUUUUGUAGCUUUGGCAAGUGUGUGUUUCCCAUCCCAGUUUGCUCCUCUCCCUGUGGGUUUUACAGAUACUCCCCACCCUGUGGCUGCAACCCUUCUCAUUUAGUCUAUCCUGCGCGCACAACCGAUGUGGAAUUCCUAGUCUUCAGCAGCAUUUGGAACUGCUGAUCUGCGGUCAAUAUGUCUGAGUUCAUCUCAGGCUUUAUUGCCCUUCAGUCCCUACACUUUUUGGCCCUGACGGACACAUGGAUUACCCCAGAGAACACUGCUCCAGUAUGGGAUCACAAUGAUGACAGAACUACGCAAUGAUGGCCUAUCCUGGCCAAACCCUAACCAGGACGAUGCUGGGCCAUUUGCACACCGCCCUAUGGGACUCCCAAUCACGGCCGGUUGUGAUACAGCCUGGAAUUGAACCAGGGCCAACGUCAUGACAGCAUAGAGCCAGGACAAUGCAGGAGUGGCUUCGGGACAAGUCUCUGAAUGUCCUUGAGUGGCCCAGCCAGAGGCCGGACUUGAACCCGAUCGAACAUCUCUGGAGAGACCUGAAAAUAGAUGUGCAGCAACGCUCCCAUCCAACCUGACAGAACUUGAGAGGAUCUGCAGAGAAGAAUGGGAGAAACUCCCCAAAUACAGGUGUGUCAAGCUUGUAGCGUCAUACCCAAGAAGACUUGAGGCUUGAGGUAAUCACUGCCAAAGGUGCUUCAAAAAAGUACUGACUAAAGGGUCUGAAUACUUAAAAUAUAGUAAAUGCUAUAUUUCAUUUUUAUAUAUAUAUUUAUUUUAUUUAUUUUACUACAAUUUCUAAAAACCUGUUUUUGCUUUGUCAUUAUGAGGUAUUGUGUGUAGAUUGAUGAGGGAAAAAAAUAUUUAAUACAUUUUAAAAUAACGCUGUAAGGUUACAAAGUUUGAAAAAAAUGUAUACUUUCCGAAUGUACUGUAUCUGCUUCAAGUUGCCUGACGGAAUACUGGGGCCUUCAUUGGUACCUUCCCUUUGAUUACAGCAAGAGUCUCCACGUUUUUUCGCAUUUAAAAAUACUAUAUGUAACCACUCAAAUUCAAAAAAACUGCUACGAACACGAGAACUAUAUUCCCUUGUCCCCGACUGCAUUUAGACAGGCAGCCCAAUUCAGAUUUUUUUCCCCACACUUUUGACCAAUCACAUAUCUGGUCACAUAAGAAUUAUUUCAGAAAUGAUUCACGCACUUAUCAACCGAACAUCCCUGGUCAUCCCUACUGCCUCUGAUCUGGCAGGCUCACUAAAUGCAAAUGUUAGCUUGUAAAUUAUGUCUGAGUGUUGGAGUUUGCCCCUGGCUUUCCG
ensembl:lncRNA